GUCCACGCUGUAAACGAUGAGUGCUAGAUGUCGCGGGUAUUGACCCCUGCGGCGUCGAAGUUAACGCGUUAAGCACUCCGCCUGGGGAGUACGGCCGCAAGGCUAAAACUCAAAGGAAUUGACGGGGGCCCGCACAAGCGGUGGAGCAUGUGGUUCAAUUCGACGCAACGCGCAGAACCUUACCUGGGUUAAAUCCACCAGAAUCCCGCAGAGAUGUGGGAGUGUUCUUCGGAAAAUUGGUGAGAAGGUGCUGCAUGGCUGUCGU
rnacentral:rRNA from 1 species